UACGUAGGGUGCAAGCGUUGUCCGGAAUUAUUGGGCGUAAAGAGCUCGUAGGCGGUUUGUCGCGUCUGCUGUGAAAUCCCGAGGCUCAACCUCGGGUCUGCAGUGGGUACGGGCAGACUGGAGUGCGGUAGGGGAGAAUGGAAUUCCUGGUGUAGCGGUGGAAUGCGCAGAUAUCAGGAGGAACACCGAUGGCGAAGGCAGUUCUCUGGGCCGUAACUGACGCUGAGGAGCGAAAGCGUGGGAGCGAACAGG
rnacentral:rRNA from 1 species